rnacentral:rRNA from 1 species
UACGUAGGUGGCAAGCGUUGUCCGGAUUUACUGGGCGUAAAGAGCGCGCAGGCGGUCGUCCAAGUCGCGUGUGAAAGCCCCCGGCUCAACUGGGGAGGGUCACGCGAUACUGGUCGACUCGAAGGCAGGAGAGGGUAGUGGAAUUCCCCGGUGUAGUGGUGAAAUGCGUAGAUAUCGGGGAGGAACACCAGUGGCGAAGGCGACUACCUGGCCUGUUCUUGACGCUGAGGCGCGAAAGCUAGGGGAGCAAACGGG